UGCGUUAAACCAGCCAGGAGGCAGGCUCAGGAGAAGUGGAAGCCACGGCUUGAGCCCAGGUGGCCUGGCUGCAGAAUCCAACCUGCCGCCCGCUCUGCCCACAGCCCUUCUGCGGCAGCGCCUCUUGGGCCCUCUCCAGCCGCCGCUGGUGAUCUGGAACACCUUACGGAAUGAAGAAGUCUGCAGCAAAGCACCACGGCCGCCCUGCAGGGCCUGCGGGGACACUCUUGGCCCUCCUUGCGUGGACAAGGGCCCCUGCUCUUUGAGCAGUCUACGCAGUAGCAAAGGCGGGGGUCUGAGGCAUGGGUCUCCCGGCCUCCAGCCGUGAGUGCUUAGGAAAUAGUGUCACAUCUCUGAGCCCUGCUAUGGUCAGCCGAGAAGCAGGGGCCGACUCCUGACUACAGGCCUGUCACAGGAGCUGAGCAGCCCUGAAUGUGAAAGACCACGCUCUGAACCCAAGGACCCUCUACCAUUGAAAUACAUCCCCAGCCUUUUCAGUCCUUUUAAAAAAUUUAUUUAUUUACUCAUUUAUUUAGACAGGCCUUGCUAAGUUACCUAGGUUAGCUUUGAACUUUUGGUCCUCCUGUCUCAGCCUCCAGAGUAGCUGAUAUUGCCAGUGUGCCGUGUGCGCCACCACACCCAGCAGCUGAACAGCUUUGCUCUGCCAUGUGCACUCCAUGCAGUGCUGCCUCAUCACGGGCCCAAAACAAUGAAGCUGCCAACCAUGAACUGCACCCUUGCAAACUGUGAGCCAAAGUGAAACUUUCCCCUUUGUAAGUUAACUAUCUCAGGUAUUUUGAAACAGGAAUGGAAUGCUAACAACGCAAGGAUCCACCUCUCUCCCACUCCAUAGCCUUGACAGCUACCAUCACCUCGCUCUGUCUUCCAAGCAGAGCUGUGUCCCUCUCCUUCCUGUCAUCCCCUAGGCCUGCCUCACCACUGCUUUCUGUUUCAAGUCAACUCAUUCCUCCUCCAGGAAACUUUCCAAGGUAGCACCCAUCCUGUAUUGCAGUGACCCUGCCACUCUGUGAACUCUGGCUUCAUAAGAUUUGUUUCUGUGCUCCCAAAGGGAAUUUUUUAAAACUAUGUAAUGCUUUGCACAUUUUUCAAGUUGACUGCUAAGAUUUUUCAUCAGUUUUAAAUCAUUACAAGGAGUAUAAUUUCUUUUUUUUUUUUCCUUUUUUUUGGUCCCGGGGAUCAAACUAGGGACUUGCACUUGCAAGGCAGGCAGGAGAACCACCAAGCUAAAUCCACAGCCCCAAAGAGUAUAAUUUCUAAAGUGUUUUAGAUACUGCAACAUUUUGAAAUGAAACUAUUAAAGCAGAGCUGGGGAUUUAGCUCAGUGGCACUGUGCUUGCCUGGCAAGCACAAGGUCCUCAGUUCGAUCCCCUAUACAAAAAAAUUAAUGAAUAAAUAAAAUAAAUAAAUAAAACUAUUAAGGCACUGUUUUAAAUGUGUGUUUGAUGAAAUCUAAAUGUGUAUUUAAAAUACACAAACCUAUGAGAGACAGAAAAUCAAUAAGAAAACAGAGAAGUUGAACCACGCUGUAGACCAAUUGGAUCUGACAGACAUUGUAUCAGUCAGCUUUUUCUGACUAUGAUGAAAUACCUGCCAGCAGCUAAUUUUAUAAAGAGGAAAGGUUCACUUAGCUCACAUUUUGGAGAUCCAAAGUUUAAAAUCAGGAGAAGGAAGCCCAUGUUUGGCACCUGGGGAGAGCCGCAGACGGCAGUGCAUGCUGCAGAUGCUCAUGUCAAAGCAGACACAUCUCAAACAGGAGAGGAACACAAGCUUGCUCCUUUCAGAACAGCUUUCUCCUAAGAACAACUGAAGGGGUCAUAACAGAAAUACCUCAUGCCCUCAAAGCCAUAAGACCUCCCCUAAUUCUGAACCAUAAAGGAAUAGAAAUGCAAGAACUAAUAACUAGUAAGGUGACUUUAAUCUGAGGCCAUUACUCUGAUACCAAAGUCAAAGAUACAACAAAGAUUUAUAGACUAAAUCACUGAUGAAUAUUAAUGCAAAAGCCGGGGAUUUAGCUCAGUGGUUUCGCCGCCUACUACACAA